AGACUGACGGGCCUCGAUCCCGCAAAAACUUNUAAUUAACAACUAAACACCCUAGCCAGUGGGCUUCAGCCUANGNC
rnacentral:tRNA from 1 species